GCGCCUAUAGCUCAGGGGUUAGAGCGUUGUUCUUAUAAAGCAGAUGUCGUGGGUUCAAUUCCCACUAGGCGCACCA
rnacentral:tRNA from 1 species